CCGCUGCCUCCUCCACCGCCAGCCGAACCUUGGGAUGAAUGGCUGAACCAGCGCCAGCGGAGCCUGAGGAUCUGCUUCACGUCAAAUUCCUUCUUCCCCGACACAGACAUCCUCCUCUGGGUUUGGAGACGAAGGCAAUGGAGUCAAGGACACCAUCUGGCUGCACUCCGCAUGACACAUGAGAUGUCAGAUGUCAGACUGGUGUGGUAAACCACAUUAUCAUCCAACAUCUGCCUCCCCAGUGAACAUACCUACGUGCCUAGACGGCUAUUCUUCGAGCCUUGCACUCGCAAUCAAGCUCGCAAAAAUGUUUGCCUCUCCAGAAAGGAAGGGGGCUCUUUCCUCUUUUAAAGGAAACUCCUGAUGAGUUCCUUCCUCUGCACUACAACAAUUGCAUUCAAGCAACCACGAACACUGGGAUCACAUCCUGUGUUUGAGGUAAAACACCGCUUUCACAAAGCCUUACCCUAAAAAAACAUGUUUCUUCCAACAGCUGCAUGAAAAGAACAUUAUUACUGAAACUAACGCAUAUAUGUGUGUUGCAAAUACAUUUUAAGUAAUUAUAAUGUCACAUAAAGAGUAAUCAUUGAUAAACAAUAAAAAGUUGUAAAACUGUAUAAUGACUGUGUAGCUUUGUAUGCAUCUUUGAGUCUGAUAAAAUAU